rnacentral:rRNA from 1 species
AUUGAACGCUGGCGGCAUGCUUUACACAUGCAAGUCGAACGGCAGCGCGGGCUUCGGCCUGGCGGCGAGUGGCGAACGGGUGAGUAAUACAUCGGAACGUGCCCAGUAGUGGGGGAUAGCUCGGCGAAAGCCGGAUUAAUACCGCAUACGACCUGAGGGUGAAAGCGGGGGAUCUUCGGACCUCGCGCUAUUGGAGCGGCCGAUGGCAGAUUAGCUAGUUGGUGGGGUAAAGGCCUACCAAGGCGACGAUCUGUAGCUGGUCUGAGAGGACGACCAGCCACACUGGGACUGAGACACGGCCCAGACUCCUACGGGAGGCAGCAGUGGGGAAUUUUGGACUAUGGGCGAAAGCCUGAUCCAGCAAUGCCGCGUGUGUGAUGAAGGCCUUCGGGUUGUAAAGCACUUUUGGCGGGAACGAAAAGGACUGUGCCAAUACCACGGUUCGAUGACGGUACCCGCAGAAUAAGCACCGGCUAACUACGUG